UACGUAGGGGGCUAGCGUUGUCCGGAAUCAUUGGGCGUAAAGCGCGUGUAGGCGGUCCGGUAAGUCCGCUGUGAAAGUCGGGGGCUCAACCCUCGGAUGCCGGUGGAUACUGUCGGGCUUGAGUACGGAAGAGGCGAGUGGAAUUCCUGGUGUAGCGGUGAAAUGCGCAGAUAUCAGGAGGAACACCGGUGGCGAAGGCGGCAUCCUGGACCAACACUGACACUGAGGAGCGAAAGCCAGGGGAGCAAACGGG
rnacentral:rRNA from 1 species